GGGAGAUUCUUGGAGAUCGGAUUUCUGUUGCAAGUAUGAUUAUGAAUUCAAAAAUUGUUUUCCAUUAAUAUUCUGCAGUGCUAGCCUACAAUUUGGUGUUUCUGACUCUAGCAAUUUGUUCCUUAAAAGUAUGUCCAGUUUGUGGGAAACACGGAGAGAAAAUUUUGGACUCAGUCAAAAAAAAGUUGAUUUUGAUGUUUCUAGAUAUAUGUAAAACAAGAAAGCUGUAUGUCCAGCUCCAGACAUAUUAAAAAGAAAAGGCCUUUAAAAAGAAAACCGGAAUUGUGACCAGUAUUCCACAGCUUUUGUUGCAUUACAUAGGUCUAGUCUCUCACAUAGGUCUAGUCUCUCACAUAGUACCCCCUAGGAGCCCCAGUCAUGGAGCAAGGUGCCAUGGUGCUAGAUGCAAAGAGAUGAUCCCUGUCCCCAAGCGCUUACCAGGUGGUGGGAAGGCAUUUCCCAAUACAAGGAGCCUAUAGAUUUCUUGUGGGGGUUGGGGAGAGAUGCUACGUGAGCCCUCCUCCCCCAGCCCUUCCCCUAGUGUGGCAGGGAGGAGGAGGAGGAGGAGAUGAAUGCUUUGCACAUGUGCAGUGGGAGUCUGUUCCAAGUAUAAAGUGCAGCAUGCAGUGGUGGGGACGAGACAGGCUGAAGCUAAGAGUGGGAAAAGGUGGACAAAAGGAGCAGUCAGGCACGAGGCUGGGGAGGAGAGUUUUCGGCAUGGGACGGGUAAGAGAGUGGAGAUGCAGCAGGAAUUGUGAUGGGCCCUGAAGGUGAGGAUGAGGAACGGAGAAGCCUGUGAAGAGAGCCGUCGGUUGAACUGGUGGGAGAAAAUGCUGAAUUUAGGAGACCUCUUUGUAAACAGUCCUACAUUUGAUUGGCACUACCAAGGAGUUGCCUGCAUUAUUUUUUUUUCUGAUUACUGCAUGUUCCCUUUUCUUGUCUACAUCUGCAGAAUUAAAUCAGUGGGAGGUUUUGUCCCUAUAAACGUUGUCUUGCUUAGCCGUCUGCUCCCUCAGAAUCUGCUCCUGGGUCUAAGGAGGGUCUCCAGGCAAUGAUAGAAUCAGCGUGUCUCUCUCCUUUUCCCAGGCUUAGUGUGUUCUCAGCUCAGGUACAGGCGUCAUUUGCAUUUUGUGGUAUGUUUUGCAGCAGCUUGUUAUAGUAUUAUCUGUUAAAGAAUGUAUUUUUAAUGUGUUUUAUAGAGUACUUUAUAAAUUAGUUAUUAAAGAAUGUACCUGCAGCUAGUGAUCACUUAAUAAAUAUUAAUAAAGCAAUUACAAAUGAGGCCAUCAUUAAAAGUGUUACAGUGUACCCAAGGUGGAUAUCUAGAAAGAAGUACAAUGUAUACUGCUGGCUGCUGAAAAGUUGUGAGGGCUUGUGGGUAAAAGACU